UACGGAGGGUGCAAGCGUUAUCCGGAUUCACUGGGUUUAAAGGGUGCGUAGGCGGGCAGGUAAGUCAGUGGUAAAAUCCCCGAGCUCAACUUGGGAAUUGCCGUUGAUACUAUCUGUCUUGAAUAUCGUGGAGGUGAGCGGAAUAUGUCAUGUAGCGGUGAAAUGCUUAGAUAUGACAUAGAACACCCAUUGCGAAGGCAGCUCACUACACGAUAAUUGACGCUGAGGCACGAAAGCGUGGGGAGCAAACAGG
rnacentral:rRNA from 1 species